GUGGGAGGGCGGGAGACAAACGCGCCUGGGGUAGACCACCUGCUUCGCAGCAGCCUACCUGCACAGAAAGAAGUGGUGCACAGGUUCAGGGAAGCAGCAGCGGUAGCAGUCAGUCAAUCAUUAGUGUAGGG